CCCCUCUCAGGGUCACAUCUGGAGAGUUUCCAGUACUCUACCAGUCUCGACUAUAGGAGAGUCAAGCAGAGGCCUAUCCAUUCCAUUCCUAGAUUGGGCAGUAGCUAGUGAGUGGUAGGCAAUCUGCUACAAGU